rnacentral:misc_RNA from 1 species
GACCAUGAUUCAGAAGCUCGGCAAGGGUUAUUGAGCGAGUACGAAGACGAAGAGGACGAGGCAGAGAUGGAGUCAAACAUUCGAUCAAAAGUUUCUAAACCACA